rnacentral:rRNA from 1 species
AUGGCGGAACAAGACGGCGACGUAAGCGUAUGCUGCUGCCUGCUCGCUACCGUGGCGUUCAUCGUGAUCUUGGUCGGCGUGGUAGCGUUGAUCUACGAGCACACGCAUGAUUAUGAUCGCAGUUACAGCCAGCCCCCCCGGUACUCGGUGGCCAUCACCGGCGUGGCCGGGCUGGACCUGGCCGACGUCGCGGGCGACCGGCCGACCCUCUCCCCGGUGUUCAACCUCACCCUGCACGUCAACAACUCCGGCGACAGGGAUCAGGCGUGCGUCCCGCUUCUCUCGACGGCGUCCGUGUCGUACGGCGACGCCUUCCUCGGCAAGGGCUCCGUGGCGUCGUUCUGCGUGGAGGCGAAGGGGGAGCAAGAGGGCCGGGCCAGGGCGUGGGGGCAGAACGUGACGGUGCCGCGCUUCCUUCGGGACCAGCUCGCCGGCGAGCUGAAGCGAGGCGACGCGGCGGUGGACGUGGCGGUGAAGAUGCCGUUGGGAUGCAACAUCGCGGCAUGCUACGACAAGGUGCUUCUCUGCAAGGCCAAGAUUCGAGGGGGUUCUCCGUGCUCGAUGACGGUUGCGAAUGUUCCACGUUGA